rnacentral:rRNA from 1 species
ACAUACGACCAUACCCACUGGAGAACUCGGGAUCCCGUCCGCUCUCCCAUAGAUAAGCCAGUGAGGGCCGGAUUAGUAGUUGGGUCGGUGACGACCAGCGAAUACCUGUUGUUGUAUGUA